UCAAGUUGGUCGGGACUAGAACGAUCUACAGCAUCAUGUGCAAACUUAUUUUUUUUAUCUUGUUGUUAAUCCAAGUUCCUGCAUCUGCUAGGGUGUGGGUGAACCAGUGGUCCUCGAAAAAUGCUUACAUAGUAGGUGAAACAGCAACUCUCUUUUGCAACAUUACCUCAGAUCAAGAGGAAAUAACAUUUUGUGGAAUGAAAUGGGUCAUCAAAGAUCAAGGUGAUCUGCUAGAAGCAGAAUCCUAUAAGCAUCGUGUCAACAUGAGCUCCACCAACACUUUUGCUUCCAUAACAUUGAGAAACCUGACCUUAAAAGACACCAUGCCAACCUGCAUCACACAGUGCCACAUUGACGGUGACUUUCAAAAUACUUUCYGGAAGGGUGGAACACUUCACAUUUUUGAUGACAUCAGCCAGAUGACAACACUGGCCCCAAAGUUGACAACACUGGUCCCAAAGAGUAAGUAUUGAUACAACAUGACUUGUUUGCUCUGUUUACAAGAUAAAGGACUGUAGGCCUACUUAGCAUUCCAGCUAUAACAUAACUUCCCAACUCGACAUGACAGUGACAAACACUUUCCUCUUGUUUUUAGAAAUCAAAAAAGACAAUUCUCUCCAUUGGCUCAAUUACAUUUUUCUGAGCAUAAACAUCUUGAUUUUCUUUGUGGCCACAGUUAUUUGUGUGUCAUACUUCCGAACACAAAUGAAGAAUUAAGGAAAUGUAUAGUAUUAGCAGCCCUGUUCCUGUGUGCCCUGUCCUGGUGAAUUGAUGAUCGACAUUUUUUUUAAUCAGUGUUGACUGUAUAAGGUAUGUUUGUCUGCUGGUAAAUUUCAGAUAACUUUUUCCUGGGCUUGAAUUCUAAGUAUUUAUGCCCAGUCACUAUCUGAACACAUAGGUUUACCAUUUUUAUUAAAUACAGUGUUUUGAUCUAUACAUCAAGGCAUAUUAUAUUUCUAUUGUGUAACUGCUUUGUAUUGAAUUUGUUUGUUUCUUGCUGUUUUUUCUUAAUAUGAAACAAAAGUAUGCAUUAUGGCUAAAGGCAUUAGUCAGUCAUUAGGAAAUGCGCUAAAAUCAGUUCUGUCACUUUCCACGCAGUAAAAGUUGGUUGAUAAUGAAAUGUUGAUUGAAGUUGAAAGGGAAUUUAUAUAGUAUGCUAUCGCGGCCAUAAACUAUAGUAUGCUAUGUUCAAGUAGACUGUCCUUUUAAUUUGUCUACAUAUAUUGUUUAUUAAAUGUUUUCUGCAUGGGUUUCA